rnacentral:rRNA from 1 species
GACGGAGGAUGCAAGCGUUAUCCGGAAUGAUUGGGCGUAAAGCGUCCGCAGGUGGCAGUUCAAGUCUGCUGUCAAAGACCGGGGCUUAACUUCGGAAAGGCAGUGGAAACUGAACAGCUAGAGUAUGGUAGGGGCAGAGGGAAUUCCAGGUGUAGCGGUGAAAUGCGUAGAGAUGUGGAGGAAUACCGAUGGCGAAGGCAGCCCCCUGGGAUAACACUGACGCUCAUGCACGAAAGCGUGGGGAGCAAACAGG